rnacentral:rRNA from 1 species
UCGCUAGUAAUCGCGGAUCAGAAUGCCGCGGUGAAUACGUUCCCGGGUCUUGUACACACCGCCCGUCACACCAUGGGAGUCGAUAACGCCCGAAGUCAGUGACCCAACCUGUAAGGAGGGAGCUGCCGAAGGCGGGAUUGAUAACUGGGGUGAAGUCGUAACAAGGUACC